rnacentral:rRNA from 1 species
GUGAGGAAUAUUGGUCAAUGGGCGGAAGCCUGAACCAGCCAUGCCGCGUGAAGGACGAAGGCGUUCUGCGUUGUAAACUUCUUUUAUAAGGGAAGAAACCUGCGAUAUCUCUUGCAGCCGACGGUACCUUAUGAAUAAGCACCGGCUAACUCCGUGCCAGCAGCCGCGGUAAUACGGAGGGUGCAAGCGUUAUCCGGAUUCACUGGGUUUAAAGGGUGUGUAGGCGGGCUUGUAAGUCAGGGGUGAAAUCCUACAGCUUAACUGUAGAACUGCCUUUGAUACUAUAGGUCUUGAAUAUUGUUGAGGUGGGCGGAAUACAUCAUGUAGCGGUGAAAUGCUUAGAUAUGAUGUAGAACACCGAUUGCGAAGGCAGCUCACUAAGCAAAUAUUGACGCUGAGGCACGAAAGCGUGGGGAUCAAACAGGAUUAGAUACCCUUGUAGUCC